rnacentral:rRNA from 1 species
UACGUAGGGGGCGAGCGUUGUCCGGAUUCAUUGGGCGUAAAGCGCUUUAAGGCGGUUCGCUAAGUCGCGUGUGAAACCUCCAGGCUCAACCUGGAGACGCCACGCGAUACUGGCGUGACUAGAGUUCGGUAGGGGAUCACGGAAUUCCUGGUGUAGCGGUGAAAUGCGCAGAUAUUAGGAGGAACACCGGUGGCGAAGGCGCCACUCUGGGCCGAAACUGACGCUGAGGAGCGAAAGCGUGGGUAGCAAACAGG